CCUGUUUAACAAAAACAUGUCUUUUUGAGUUAUUUUUAAAGUCUGACCUGCCCACUGAAAUUUUUAAAUGGCCGCAGUAUUCUAACUGUGCAAAGGUAGCAUAAUCAUUAGUCUUUUAAUUGAAGGCUGGUAUGAACGGUUGGACGAGGUAUAAGCUGUUUCAUAUAAAUUUAUAAUAGAAUUUUAUAUUUUAGUCAAAAAGCUAAAAUUAAAUUAAAAGACGAGAAGACCCUAUAAAUCUUUAUAUUUUUUGUUAUUUAAAUUUUUUGGAUUAAUUUUAUUUUUAUAGUAAAAAAUAUUUUGUUGGGGUGAUGUUAAAAUUUAAUGAACUUUUAAUUAUUUAAAAUCAUUAAUUUAUGAGUUAUUGAUCCAUUAGUAGUG
rnacentral:rRNA from 1 species